rnacentral:tRNA from 1 species
UCACAGUUGUCAUAGUCUGCAAGUGGUCAAGGAAAUUGACUAGAAAUCAAUUAGGGUUUUCCCGUGUAGGUUCAAGUCCUGCCAUUGUUAC